rnacentral:rRNA from 1 species
GAUAAACGCUGGCGGCGUGCCUAAUACAUGCAAGUCGAGCGAACGGACGAGAAGCUUGCUUCUCUGAUGUUAGCGGCGGACGGGUGUGUAACACGUGGAUAACCUACCUAUAAGACUGGGAUAACUUCGGGAAACCGGAGCUAAUACCGGAUAAUAUUUUGAACCGCAUGGUUCAAAAGUGAAAGACGGUCUUGCUGUCACUUAUAGAUGGAUCCGCGCUGCAUUAGCUAGUUGGUAAGGUAACGGCUUACCAAGGCAACGAUGCAUAGCCGACCUGAGAGGGUGAUCGGCCACACUGGAACUGAGACACGGUCCAGACUCCUACGGGAGGCAGCAGUAGGGAAUCUUCCGCAAUGGGCGAAAGCCUGACGGAGCAACGCCGCGUGAGUGAUGAAGGUCUUCGGAUCGUAAAACUCUGUUAUUAGGGAAGAACAUAUGUGUAAGUAACUGUGCACAUCUUGACGGUACCUAAUCAGAAAGCCACGGCUAACUACGUGCCAGCAGCCGCGGUAAUACGUAGGUGGCAAGCGUUAUCCGGAAUUAUUGGGCGUAAAGCGCGCGUAGGCGGUUUUUUAGUCUGAUGUGAAAGCCCACGGCUCAACCGUGGAGGGUCAUUGGAAACUGGAAAACUUGAGUGCAGAAGAGGAAAGUGGAAUUCCAUGUGUAGUGGUGAAAUGCGCAGAGAUAUGGAGGAACACCAGUGGCGAAGGCGACUUUCUGGUCUGUAACUGACGCUGAUGUGCGAAAGCGUGGGGAUCAAACAGGAUUAGAUACCCUGGUAGUCCACGCCGUAAACGAUGAGUGCUAAGUGUUAGGGGGUUUCCGCCCCUUAGUGCUGCAGCUAACGCAUUAAGCACUCCGCCUGGGGAGUACGACCGCAAGGUUGAAACUCAAAGGAAUUGACGGGGACCCGCACAAGCGGUGGAGCAUGUGGUUUAAUUCGAAGCAACGCGAAGAACCUUACCAAAUCUUGACAUCCUUUGACAACUCUAGAGAUAGAGCCUUCCCCUUCGGGGGACAAAGUGACAGGUGGUGCAUGGUUGUCGUCAGCUCGUGUCGUGAGAUGUUGGGUUAAGUCCCGCAACGAGCGCAACCCUUAAGCUUAGUUGCCAUCAUUAAGUUGGGCACUCUAAGUUGACUGCCGGUGACAAACCGGAGGAAGGUGGGGAUGACGUCAAAUCAUCAUGCCCCUUAUGAUUUGGGCUACACACGUGCUACAAUGGACAAUACAAAGGGCAGCGAAACCGCGAGGUCAAGCAAAUCCCAUAAAGUUGUUCUCAGUUCGGAUUGUAGUCUGCAACUCGACUACAUGAAGCUGGAAUCGCUAGUAAUCGUAGAUCAGCAUGCUACGGUGAAUACGUUCCCGGGUCU